rnacentral:rRNA from 1 species
UACGGGGGGAGCAAACGUUGUUCGGAAUUACUGGGCGUAAAGGGCGUGCAGGCGGCCUUGUAAGUGGGAUGUGAAAUGCCCUGGCUCAACCAGGGAACUGCAUCCCAGACUGUAAGGCUUGAGUAUAGGAGAGGAUGGGGGAAUUCCCGGUGUAGCGGUGAAAUGCAUUGAUAUCGGGAGGAACACCAGUGGCGAAGGCGCCCAUCUGGCCUAAUACUGACGCUCAGGCGCGAAAGCUAGGGGAGCAAACAGG